UACGUAGGGUGCGAGCGUUGUCCGGAAUUAUUGGGCGUAAAGGGCUCGUAGGCGGUUUGUCGCGUCGGGAGUGAAAACCAGGUGCUUAACACCUGGCUUGCUUUCGAUACGGGCAGACUAGAGGUAUUCAGGGGAGAACGGAAUUCCUGGUGUAGCGGUGAAAUGCGCAGAUAUCAGGAGGAACACCGAUUGCGAAGGCAGCUCGCUGGGACGUUACUGACGCUGAGACGCGAAAGCGUGGGUAGCAAACGGG
rnacentral:rRNA from 1 species